UUCCUUCUUUUCCAUAAAACCUUCGUAAGGUUAAGUUGUAUUUUCAUUGCGCUCCGCAGGAAAAUUUUAUAAGUCCUUGAAAAAUGAGUGAAACUCUGCAAUUGCGCGGUACCCUUGUUGGCCACACCGGCUGGGUAACACAAAUCGCCACCAACCCAAAGGAUCCCGACACCAUCAUCUCGGCUUCUCGUGAUAAGACCCUUAUCGUCUGGAAAUUGACCCGCGAUGAGGACACCAACUACGGUUUCCCACAAAAGCGUUUGUACGGACACUCGCACUUCAUCAGCGAUGUUGUGCUCUCAUCCGAUGGUAACUACGCUCUGUCUGGCUCAUGGGACAAGACUUUGCGUUUGUGGGAUUUGGCUGCUGGCAAGACCACCCGUCGUUUUGAAGAUCACACCAAGGUGGGGCGAAAUGUCACAAUUUUAAGUCACAACUUUUGUGUAGCAUAGUAGUUGAUAGGGCUUAACUUUUUAUGGAAAAAAAUUCUAAAAUUGAAAAUGCACUAAGUGCAGGCAAAAUUGCUAGGAGUAUAGGUGGUGCUUAUUUAGGGCCUUGUGCAAACAAUUUGACAAAGUUUGAGGUUAGAUCAGCUAGUCUAGCAAAGUAAUUUGAUAGGUCAAGCAUCACCUAAAUAUGUAUAAAAAUACGUGCCUAUGCGAGGCAGAAUUCUGGUUGAGUGUCGUGGAGCACCUUCUCGGAUAAUCUUCACCGCAACAGCAAGGCGGUAAAUUGAUGUGCUCUCCGUAGCUUUCUCCGCUGACAAUCGUCAAAUUGUCUCCGGCUCUCGGGACAAGACCAUCAAGUUGUGGAACACUUUGGCCGAG
rnacentral:misc_RNA from 1 species